GUUUAAUUUUAAAGUUUAUCUAUUGGCUUACAUUGAAAGAAAUCGACGUUAAAAAGAAGCGAGCACAGAGAAAAUGAGUCAACACAAGCACCGUGUUGUCUUAAUCAGCUCGGGCUUCACUGUGGACUUCUGAGCACCAGGUGUUCCAAGACUGAUAUCGGUCACCUCCUGAGAGCAUCAAGCCUCCUUCGUGAGUGCUGCAGUGGUGUUCAAAGGGUUAACAGCAAAGGUGACAUUGUUCUACUCGCCAAACCUGUAACUUUAACAGAGGGUGACAGGGUGACCUUGACGACAGAUGUUCUUAUGGCAACAGAUGGCACGAGCAAACCCGAGAAGCUGCUGUACGCUGUCUCCGU